CGUGUAGGCGGAGAUGCAAGUUGGGAGUGAAAUACCGGGGCUCAACCCCGGAACUGCUUUCAAAACUGUAUCCCUUGAGUGUCGGAGAGGCAAGCGGAAUUCCUAGUGUAGCGGUGAAAUGCGUAGAUAUUAGGAGGAACACCAGUGGCGAAGGCGGCUUGCUGGACGAUAACUGACGCUGAGGCGCGAAAGCGUGGGGAGCAAACA
rnacentral:rRNA from 1 species